GAAGGCAAGCGACAACUUUAUAUAAGAAAUUUAAAAUUAGAAUAGCCCCACAGUUUUUAGAAUUUAAACAUGGCGAAAUGUCGAAAAGAGUACCUGAAGUGGAGCCAUUACGUCGAGAGCGCAAUUUUUGCGUUUUAGAAGAAAAACUUUACGGUGCCUUUGUAAAUUAAAGCAACUUAUGUAAAUUAUACAAUCAGCUGUUUAUUUAAAGAAACGAUAGUUUUCCUACUCACAUGUUACCGACAACCGAUGGAGCACAUAUAUGUGAAACUUGAAAAUGUGACAUUUCUUAAGCCAGUGGAGAAAGGCUACAAUAAGAUGAGUAACGCCAUACAACAAAAUGCUACAACAAAUGAAUUUUUAAAAAUUGAAAACGAAAACGUUCUCACAGUCGAAUGAGCGAAAACGCUAAAAAUGGAAUUUACUCUCAGCUUCAGCUCUAUGAGAGUCGUACAGGCAAUUGUGUUUGUAUGGCUCGAACUAGCGACAUACCACACCACAUGCCACCGCCUCUAUUCAACAACCGCACCAAUAAUUAAAUCGUAGUGAAAAAAAUUUAAAUAUCAGCACAGAAAACAAUACAAUCAAUUACAAUAUUGUUGAUAGAAUUCGAAACAGACAUGCAUGAAUGUGUGUGUACGUGUAUAAAGAAAAUCGUGGAUAAAAGUCAAUUGCAUUUAAGUUGGCUUAGCUUGGUUGGCAAUACAAGUUGGGUUAUUAACAUAAUUUAUAGUUUUGUGAUGGCAGCGGGAAGGUGCCAAUGGGUAUAAAUGAAAGAUACUGGAUAUAUAUAUAAAAUUCUAAAUGCAAACGUAUCAAAAAUAUCGUUUUAUGACUUGCUCUUAGCUCUUAAUAUUUACCACUAACCAAACAACAUUUUGUUUUGUUAGUGUAUUUACCCAACUUUCCCAAAAAACAGGAUGUCGAUAUCGACGAUAAGAAUCGCCUGUUUGGAAACUGAGUAAGUUAUCGAUUGUCGGAAACAAACCCGAUCUGCGCAGGCACUAGGAGAACCUACAUUCUAAAUUUCAGUCCCUAGAUCUUAUGGGUUGCGUUCAUACAUACGGACAGACAAACAGACGGACGUGGGUGAUCAUGAAUAUAUGUAUAUACUUUUUGGGGUCGGAGGUGCUUACUUCUGUCUGUUAAAUACAUUUACAUUUGUAUAGGUACAAUAUACUAUUUUUGCCCAUUUUUAAUGGGUUCAGGGUAUAAAAAUUGUUGAGUCCUGCAUCUCUGCAACAACCACAAGAUUAUAUGCGAAAUAGUAGCUUGUUGAUGUUCCGGAAGAGUAUGGAAUUUGGACACCAUCGACGUCAUUAGUUUGGCAGCUUGAAGAUAUUGAGUCACAUAGAUACAAGAAAGAGAAAAAGGAAAAUAGGAAAAGUCUAGAACAACCUCGAGAGUAUAGACCACGGGGCAACAGAUCCGUAGGAAACUAUCAUAACAAUCAAUAGAAAAAAUAAUAACGAAAUACGCUGUGACAAUCGCAGCCAUAACGAAAGUUAUGACACACAAUUUUAAACUAGGAAGGAAAAAAAAAAAUUCUUGCAAUCAUGUCUUAGGAAAGCACUUCCGACCAACAAUAUAACAAUCGAAAAGAUACCCAGGAAAUUCGCAGACUAAGAGUUGCAUGCGUAAUGUGAAGGAACAACAUGAUCAACUGCAUAAUUAUAACGUGGACGCAAAGAUCCUCGACGUGGCACGAAACAGAAUACUUAAUAAUAAAAAAAAUUCACCAUUACCACAUACCCUGGUAUUAUCUGGUAAUCCCUCCAAGUUUUAAAUUAACAUUAAUGCAACAUGUUAUUUUAUUAGUCCUAAACUGGUACCACAAGCAAAUCAAGACAACAAACGCCAAUAGCGAUUAAAACAGUACUGAACGUACACCAAUUAUAUAACAACGAUUCUCCCACUUUUUAAAGAAUUUUCAAAUCAUUUGCUUUAUUGUUACCUAUAUUCCAAUUCCAACCAUUGGUUUGAUUGGAAUACAUAUUCUACAACAAUGAGAAGCGAUUGUAAACAUUCCACACCGAUCUCUUCAAACAAAAACUUUCAACAUGCAGAUCAAACUCAUAGAUAAAAUAGUGUCAAGCUUACACACUAUAGAGGAAGAAUCAAAGGAAAUAACACAACAACCCGUUAAUAUCGAAAACGGCACAUUCGGGUGCUAACCAACAACCAUUAGCAAAAACUUAUUUAUACCAGGAGGACUGUAUUCUGCCAAAAACACCUUAAGUGUUAUGGCAGUUUAAACCCUUUCAAAAGAGACGCAGAAAUUUUGUUUCGAUACACGACUUGAAGUCGAAAAGUAUAGGAAACAAGAAUAUUUGAAAGCCAAGCUUAUAUUAGAGCCCAAUAAUGAAACAAUCUGCAAAAAACAAGUAAUAAAAAUCUCUUUAAAAUUUCCAAACUUGUUUUACAUAGAGUCAAGACAACGGACGAUAUACCAAUUUACACCAAACCAUUCCGAUGAAUGAUUGGAUCAGGAUAUCAGUAAACACCUUUUGGGUACCAAAAAAG